GCGGAUGAAAUCUAGGGUUCCGGUCUACGGGACGACUGGUCCAAGAGAUUUCAGCCGGCUCUGCCGGCACACGGAGGGAUAAAAGCCCGGGAGAC
rnacentral:sRNA from 10 species